rnacentral:sRNA from 1 species
UUUCAUGUGAAAACUUUUAAAACAAAUGAGUAGUUUAUAUAUUUGUUAUUCAAAUUAUGUCAAUCCAAUAUUUAGCCAUGAGCCUAUCAUGAUGUGAUUGGAAUACUAGAUUAGGAGAGAAUACAUGGAACAAGAAAUUAUUUGCUUAGAAUCAAGUUAGACAACUUUCAAACCAAAUAAGUAGCAUAAUUGCAUACCAUUAUAUCAUAUUGUUGAUGUAAGUAUUUCAUGAUAGUUAAAAAAAUUUAGAAACUUGGGUAUAUAGAUAAAAAGAUUUAUACAUGAAAAAAAUAUAAUUGAUAUUUGAAUCAAAAGUGAAUCUAACUAUACAAAUAUAAUUACAUAAAAUGAAUAUAACUUUAUUAACUACAUAAUAACAUACACGAAAAUAACAUAAAUUAGAAAUAAAAAUAGUUAAACAUAAUUAUUUUUAAACAAAUUUCAAACAACAACCCACGCGUAGCGUGGGUACUCACCUAAUAUAAAUAAAAGCACAAAAACCACAUAUGAGUGUUCUUUUUUGUUUAAAGAUACAUAUUCUUUUAGAGAGAGCCAAUCGGAAACCAAUAAAUUUAUAUGAAAAACAAAAGAUACAUGGGUUCUUAUUUUAGUAGCUAAACAAAUUAUCCGG